AAAAGUUCAGAAAUUGAAAAUGAAGCAAGCUAUAGCAACAUGUUUCUUCCUAAUAGCUUUUCUUUUUCUCACCUCAGGUAUAUAUAAUAAGUUUAGUUUUUAUUUUUCGGAUUUACUGUGUUUAAGUGAUUGCACCUUAUUGUUAUUAUCAUGAUAUUUUAUACACACUAUCAAGUUUUUCUUGUAAUUGUUAUUUUGAUUUUGCUUGAGGUGAGUGUCUUUUAAAAAUAAUUUUGCUACCUCGUAAAGAUAGUGAUAAGAUCUGUUACACUCUACCUUUGCUAGACGAUCCCAUUUUGUGGGAUUUCACAAGAUUUUUGUUGUAUUUAUUUACAAUCUUUCUACCUCGUAAAGAUAGUGAUAAAGUCUGUCACACUCUACCCUCCAAACCCUAUUUUAUGGAAUUUCAAAAGGCUUUUUUUUGUUGUUGUAGGAUAGAUUUUAUUUUACGAUCUUUCUACCUCUUAAAAAUAAUGAUAAGGUCUACCACACUCUACUCUUCAGACCCCAUUAGACUUUUUUUUUUAAGAUAGUUUUUAUUUUCUUUAUUUGUUAAAUUGUGUGUAUUUAUAAAAUCUUAAUAUUACAAAUAUUUUUUAUGAACCUCCCAAGUAGCCUUCUAAGAAUGAUUAAGUUCUUAUUCCCAUCUUAGACGGUAUUCGAUAGACUCUCGAGUUAAUGAGUAAAGGAUAAAAUUACAGUUAAAAAGUCAAAUCUAUUUAUGUAUCUAUUUAUUUAAAAAUUGACAUUUCUAAUGAUUUUUUUAAUUUUUUUUUAGGUAUGAUUUCAGUUGAGGGUGCUCUAGUAAAUAUUUGUGAGAGAUUAGUACUUGGAAUUGAUUGUCCAGUAGAAUCACAAUCAAGAAUAUGCCUAACAGAGUGCACUAAAAUAUCCAGUGGUCAUAAACCUUAUGAACAUUAUUGUUUACAAGGUCAAGAUUCAACUUAUUGCUAUUGUGAAUGGGAAGCUGAUUUUUGCAACUAAGGGAUCGUAUGAUAGAGUGCAUUUAAAGAUCGUUGGGUACAGAAUAAUAAGUAUCAGGAAUUCUUUUUUGAGAAUGUAAUAAGUUUUACGUCAUUAUUAUUUUGCUAAUAAUAUAUAUAUAGUAUUAUUGUUAUUGAAAGUGUUUGCGAUAUAUAUUGAAAAAAUAUUAUAAUC
rnacentral:lncRNA from 1 species